AUUGGUGCCGGAAUAAUAUAUCACCGGUGAAAAGGGAAACAGGUGAAAGGCCUGUGCGAACUCGUCACUGUAAUCAGCUGGAUAUUUGCCAUCAGAAUUAUUGAUUGAGCCACUGGAAACGGGAAGGUAGCAAAUAUCCUUAUAAGGCUGAGAGCCAGGAGACCUGCCAGUUGUGUUU
rnacentral:ncRNA from 1 species